CGCCUGCACUCCCCACAGGCGGCUGGCCACCAGGCUCAGCACGUGGCAGCCCUGGGGGACAGAGCUCCCGGGGGCGUCCACGGGGACUGCAGCACCAGGCUGCCGGCAGCAGGGGAGGACUCGGGGUGCCACUUGGGGUGACGGCCUUUCAGAACAGCGCUUGCCUUUGGAGCAGCCCUGGGUGUGCUGCCGGAGCUGGGGGGGAAAGUCCUGGGACAGGAGCCUCACAUCGUGAGCGGCCUCUGUCUCCCCUCAGGACAUCACCACCACCACCGCUCACACCCUUUGUUCUUUCUCAUGGGUCUGGAGGUAAAAUGGAAAGGCAUGAACUCUGGUGACAUCACAGCUCGCAGAGCUGCCUGGACCGAAGCCACCGCUAGCCCAGUUCAGCUUCAUCACCCUCCAGGGGACCCUACGAGAACAGUGCUCGUGGCUCAGAGGGGACCGCGCUUGCCUAGCACGCAGGAGGCCCUGGGUCCCAUCGGAGCGCCACACAAGCUGGCCACAGUGCCGACCCUCUGCACACACAGCAGAGGCUGGGAGUUCAAGACCGCCCUCAGCUACACAGCCAGCUUGAGGCUAGCCUGUGCUACAUAAGAAUUGGUCCCCACAAAAAUAAAUAAUAAAAAGAAGACGACGUCCCGUCCCUCUCUGACUACGACGGAGGACAGAGCCCACAGGCCACAGUGCAGGGACGCUCC